rnacentral:lncRNA from 1 species
AGAGAUAGAUGGUGAGGGGUUUGAGGGGAGCUGAAGGAUGGGACUGGAUGGUGGUCAGAGAUAGAUGGGAGGGGUUGAGGGAGCUGAAGGAUGGGACUGGAUGGUGGUCAGAGAUAGAUGGGAGGGGUUGAGGGGAGCUGAAGGAUGGGACUGGAUGGUGGUCAGAGAUAGAUGGGAGGGGUUGAGUGUAGCUGAAGGGUGGGACUGGAUGGUGGUCAGAGAUAGAUGGGAGGGGUUGAGGGGAGCUGAAGGGUGGGACUGGAUGGUGGUCAGAGAUAGAUGGGAGGGGUUGAGGGGAGCUGAAGGGUGGAACUGGAUGGUGGUCAGAGAUAGAUGGGAGGGGUUGAGGGGAGCUGAAGGGUGGGACUGGAUGGUGGUCAGAGAUAGAUGGGAGGGGUUGAGGGGAGCUGAAGGAUGGGACUGGGAUGGUGGUCAGAGAUAGAUGGGAGGGGUUGAGGGGAGCUGAAGGGUGGAACUGGAUGGUGGUCAGAGAUAGAUGGGAGGGGUUGAGGGGAGCUGAAGGAUGGGACUGGAUGGUGGUCAGAGAUAGAUGGGAGGGGUUGAGGGGAGCUGAAGGAUGGGACUGGAUGGUGGUCAGAGAUAGAUGGGAGGGUUGAGGGGAGCUGAAGGAUGGGACUGGAUGGUGGUCAGAGAUAGAUGGGAGGGGUUGAGGGGAGCUGAAGGAUGGGGACUGGAUGGUGGUCAGAGAUAGAUGGGAGGGGUUGAGGGGAGCUGAAGGAUGGGGACUGGAUGGUGGUCAGAGAUAGAUGGGAGGGUUUGAGGGGAGCUGACGGAUGGGACUGGAUGGUGGUCAGAGAUAGAUGGGAGGGGUUGAGGGAGCUGAAGGAUGGGACUGGAUGGUGGUCAGAGAUAGAUGGGAGGGGUUGAGGGGAGCUGAAGGCUGGGACUGGAUGGUGGUCAGAGAUAGAUGGGAGGGGUUGAGGGGAGCUGAAGGAUGGGACUGGAUGGUGGUCAGAGAUAGAUGGGAGGGGUUGAGGGGAGCUGAAGGAUGGGACUGGAUGGUGGUCAGAGAUAGAUGGGAGGGGUUUGAGGGGAGCUGAAGGAUGGGACUGGAUGGUGGUCAGAGCUAGAUGGAGGGUUGAGGGGAGCUGAAGGAUGGGACUGGAUGGUGGUCAGAGAUAGAUGGGAGGGGUGAGGGGAGCUGAAGGGUGGGACUGGAUGGUGGUCAGAGAUAGAUGGGAGGGGUGAGGGGAGCUGAAGGGUGGGACUGGAUGGUGGUCAGAGAUAGAUGGGAGGGGUUGAGGGGAGCUGAAGGAUGGGACUGGAUGGUGGUCAGAGAUAGAUGGGAGGGGUUGAGGGGAGCUGAAGGAUGGGGACUGGAUGGUGGUCAGAGAUAGAUGGGAGGGGUUUGAGGGGAGCUGAAGGAUGGGGACUGGAUGGUGGUCAGAGAUAGAUGGGAGGGGUUGAGGGGAGCUGAAGGAUGGGACUGGAUGGUGGUCAGAGAUAGAUGGGAGGGGUUGAGGGGAGAUGAAGGAUGGGACUGGAUGGUGGUCAGAGAUAGAUGGGAGGGGUUGAGGGGAGCUGAAGGAUGGGACUGGAUGGUGGUCAGAGAUAGAUGGGAGGGGUUGAGGGGAGCUGAAGGAUGGGACUGGAUGGUGGUCAGAGAUAGAUGGGAGGGGUUGAGG